GUGAAAUUGUUGAAAGGGAAACGAUUGAAGUCAGUCGUGCCAGCGAGAAAUCAGCUUACAGGCUACUGUGGGUGCACUUUUUCGCAAGGCAGGUUAACAUCGAUUUUUGUUGGGUCAUAAUGAUUGUAGGAAGGUGGCUCCUUCGGGAGUGUUAUAGCCUACUUUAGAUGGCGUGAUGAAGAUCGAGGAUUGCAGCGAAUGCCUUUAGGCUACGGGUCUGUUCUCUGUUGAUUUUUCAAUUUGUCUUCAGCAAGCUGAGGCCAGAUUGAACAAUUUACAAUAGGAUGGAAUCCGAUAGAUUCGCUAAGGAUGUUGACGUAAUGGCUUUAAACGAC
rnacentral:rRNA from 1 species